GGGGGGUAGAAUUUCAGGUGUAGCGGUGAAAUGCGUAGAGAUCUGAAGGAAUACCGGUGGCGAAGGCGGCCCCCUGGACAGAUACUGACACUCAGAUGCGAAAGCGUGGGGAGCAAACAGGAUUAGAUACCCUGGUAGUCCACGCCGUAAACGAUGUCUACUUGGAGGUUGUGGCCUUGAGCCGUGGCUUUCGGAGCUAACGCGUUAAGUAGACCGCCUGGGGAGUACGGUCGCAAGAUUAAAACUCAAAUGAAUUGACGGGGGCCCGCACAAGCGGUGGAGCAUGUGGUUUAAUUCGAUGCAACGCGAAGAACCUUACCUACUCUUGACAUCCAGAGAACUUUCCAGAGAUGGAUUGGUGCCUUCGGGAACUCUGAGACAGGUGCUGCAUGGCUGUCGUCAGCUCGUGUUG
rnacentral:rRNA from 1 species